rnacentral:tRNA from 1 species
AUGGAACUAAUAAACCGGGCUUGUAGCCCGGUGGUUANAGCGCUACACUAAUAAUGUAGAGGUCGNGGUUCGAGUCCACGCAGGCCCACUAGAAAGGAAACUGCCGGNCAAGNCAUUAAAACNCGGGGGAUUAGCUCAACGACNGNUAAAGAGCGUUCCGACUUGAAGUCGGGAAGGUCCAUCAGAGUCAGAAGCAAAGUCAACCAAUCCAACACGGGGGAUUAGCUCAGCUGGCUAGAGCGCNUGCUUUGCAAGCAGGAGGUCAUCGGUUCGACUCCGAUAUUCUCCACCCCAUUAAGGUUGAAGGAUUGAAGGGUUGAAUAAAUACCAAGACUAAUUAAUCGGAAGGAUUAAUUAAAAGUUGAAAGGGUAAAAGAAAUGUAACAGCAAAAGUACUGUGGACUAUGGACCAUGGACUAUUGACUGAAAUUACAACGUUGUUAGUGCCUGUAGCGAGAGGAAGAAGAGCCGUUCUGAAUCUGAAAACUCAGGGUGUAAAACACUAAUAAAAAGUUCAUUGACAUGCUGGAAAAAAGAGUAAGAAGAAGAUGAUAGUAUCAGAGAUGAUAUUAUCAGAUAGUAAAUCGAGCACAUAGGUCGUGGUGUUGUAGUUAGCAAAAGAACUACAGCAAGCGAUAAUAGAAGUAAAUAAGGGCGUAUGGGGAAUGCCUAGGCUCUCAGAGGCGAUGAAGGACGUGCUAA